GGGGCUGUGGCUCAGUUGGGAGAGCGCUUCCCUCGCACGGAAGAGGUCAGGGGUUCGAAUCCCCUCAGCUCCACCA
rnacentral:tRNA from 1 species